rnacentral:rRNA from 1 species
UACGGAAGGGGCAAGCGUUGUUCGGAAUCAUUGGGCGUAAAGGGCGCGUAGGUGGUUCUGUAUGUCUACCGUGAAAGCGUACGGCUCAACCGUAUUUUGUCGGUAGAAACUGCAGGACUUGAGGCUGGGAGGGGCUGGUGGAAUUCCCUGUGUAGCGGUGAAAUGCGUAGAGAUGGGGGAGAACACUCGUGGCGAAGGCGGCCAGCUAGACCAGUUCUGACACUGAGGCGCGACAGCGUGGGGGGCAAACAGG